rnacentral:sRNA from 1 species
GCUAGGCGCGGUGGCGCACACCUGUAAUCCCAGUGGCUCAGGGGGCUGAGGCAGGAGGAUCGCCUCAGCAAAAGCAAAGCACUGAACACUCAGUGAGACCCUGUCUCUA